AAUCUUCCGCAAUGGACGAACGUCUGACGGAGCAACGCCGCGUGAGUGAUGAAGGUUUUCGGAUCGUAAAACUCUGUUGUUAGGGAAGAACAAGUAUCGUAGUAACUGCCGGUCCCUUUACGGUACCUGACGAGAAAGCCACCGCUAUCUACGUCCCAGCACCCGCGGUAAUACGUAGGUGGCAAGCGUUGUCCGGAUUUAUUGGUCGUAAAGGGAGCGCAGGGGAUGUUUUAAGUCUGAUGUGAAAUCUUACAGCUUAACUGUAGGCGGUCAUUGGAAACUGGGAGACUUGAGUGCAGAAGAGGAGAGUGGAAUUCCAUGUGUAGCGGUGAAAUGCGUAGAGAUAUGGAGGAACACAAGUGGCGAAGGCGACUCUCUGGUCUGUAACUGACGCUGAGGCGCGAAAGCGUGGGGAUCAAACAG
rnacentral:rRNA from 1 species